rnacentral:miRNA from 1 species
GCAGACACAUUCCAGCCAAUCAGCAGCAGACCCUCCCUCCCAGACCCUCCCACCUCCUGGACAGCUCACUAAGAAUGCAGCUUCAUAAUGAAUGUAAAAUGGAUGCUGUCCAGGAGGUGGGAGGGUCUGGGAGGGAGGGUCUGCUGCUGAUUGGCUGCAAUGUGUCUG